GACGAACGCUGGCGGCGUGCUUAACACAUGCAAGUCGAACGGAAAGGCCCUGCUUUUGUGGGGUGCUCGAGUGGCGAACGGGUGAGUAACACGUGAGUAACCUGCCCUUGACUUUGGGAUAACUUCAGGAAACUGGGGCUAAUACCGGAUAGGAGCUCCUGCUGCAUGGUGGGGGUUGGAAAGUUUCGGCGGUUGGGGAUGGACUCGCGGCUUAUCAGCUUGUUGGUGGGGUAGUGGCUUACCAAGGCUUUGACGGGUAGCCGGCCUGAGAGGGUGACCGGCCACAUUGGGACUGGGAUACGGCCCAGACUCCUACGGGAGGCAGCGGUGGGGAAUAUGGCACAAGGGGCGGAAGCCGGAUGCAGCAACGCCGCGGGCGGGAUGACGGCCUUCGGGUUGUAAACCGCUUUCGCCUGUGACGAAGCGUGAGUGACGGUAAUGGGUAAAGAAGCACCGGCUAACUACGG
rnacentral:rRNA from 1 species